CCCUCCGAGUGACGACAAGUGACAACUUCCCUGAGAUUCAUGUGGGAGAUGAGGUCUGCACCAAAAAAACAAGUCCAUGUUACUACAUUACCCCAUCAGGAAAAUCUUCAGUGGAUAGCUGUGUCACCAAAUACUUACAACAAGACAGAGUCCUCAGAUGUGUGAUGAGAGAGUGACUGAAAUUCCAGAAAUCAGCCCAGAGCCAUCAGUAUCCGUCACAGAAGAGGGCAAGAUCUCUGUAAGCUUGAAGCUUGCAGACAGGGAGGAGUUCCAAGUUGAAGUGCUGGCGUAUACCUCUGACGACCACAGCCUAGUCUCCUCGAAGCAAGACCACAGCUGUCUGAUUGCAACUGGGGUGGAAUCGCGCGAGGAGGAUACAAUGACCUGUCUUCACAGAGCUUCCUUGCCAGAAGGCCAGACAGACAUCAAUGUGCUCAUUGUGAAAACAGACAAGGAGGCGAAUGCAAUUGCAUCAAGUCUAGUGCUCCAUGGUGGUAAGCCUGACGUCGAUGAGAAAUGUGUGGAGUCAUCAUCGGAGCAGUUGUUGGUGCCAUAAUAGGAGUGGC